GUUUCUUCAAACAGUACGUUCCGCACAACAAGAGGAUCAGUCAGUUGGCAGAACUUCCGUCUACUAUUGAAAAAUCAAAGUUCAUCUAAGCUGACGUUGAAUUAUACCAGUAAACAGAUAAAAACUUGAGCGAGACAGACUUCAAAUCAAUCACAGAAUGUGGCGAAUGGUGCAACUAUGAGCCGGAGUCGCGGGUCAACAAGCAAAACCGUUCGGCUGACGUCAGCCGUAUCCAUCACGUCGCAUCGUGGUUUUUCUGGUUACAGCGAUUACUCCCGCCGAGAUUGUGGUUUUCC